CUGAAGUUUAACCUUCCAUCACCUGGACUGGCAGUUUAUAGUGGUUUUGACUCUAAUUUUGCAAACUGGACGUUAAAUAAAGAGUAAUUUUAGAAGAUGACUUGCCUUUGUGGUCAAGGUCCUUACUUUCUUUAUGUUGUGGUUCCAUCGAUCUGGUAAUGGUGUUCAGUUUGGGUUUAAGGAUCGGCUUACUUUGUGGUAGAG
rnacentral:misc_RNA from 1 species